UUUAGGGUUUAGGGUUUAGAGUUGAAGGUUUAGGGUUUAGAGUUGAUGUUUUAGGGUUAAUUUUUUAGGGUUUAGAGUUUACUUUCUAGGGUUUAGGGUUUAGUGUUGAUAGUUUAGGGUUUAGUGUUGAUGGUUUAGGGUUUAGAGUUGAAGUUUAGGGUUUAGGGUUUAGAGUUGAUGUUUUAGGGUUUAGAGUUGAAGGUUUAGGGUUUAGGGUUUAGAGUUUAGGGUGUAGGGUUUAGAGUUGAAGGUUUAGGGUUUAGGGCUUAGAGUUGAUGUUUCGGAGUUUAGAAAUUAGAGUUGAUGUUUCUGGGUUUAGGGUUUAUUUCAAAAAAUAAAAGAGUUUAGGAUUGAUGGUUUAGGGUUUAGGGUUCAGGGUUCGUAUUAAAAAAAAAAAAGCGUUUAGGAUUGAUGGUUUAGGGUUUAGAGUUGAAAUUUAGGGUUUAGGGUUUGAAUUUCGAGAUAGUUUAAUUCAGAAAAAAAUUAAAAAAAUUAUUUUUCAU
rnacentral:lncRNA from 1 species